UGCCACCUUCUAACCAUGUCUUUCUAGUCUGCUCUGCGUUCAAGCCAUUAAUUCACUUUAACAGUUUUCUUCCCUUAAGUCCUCCUCGUCCAAUACUACUGAAAAUCUCUACAUAAACCUCCCCUAAACAGAAGACAUUUCUAAAGAGCGAAUCGGUAAGCCGUAAGGGUUGAAAAAAUCACAUUUAUCAGAUAAAUUUGAGCAGUUGAACGCUGUAUCAUAUCUGCAAAGGUCUGUGUUUAAUGAAAGUUUAGGAUGCCAAUCUUAACGUAAAGGGGCUUUUGCAUUCGGAAAGAAAGGGGAACAAAUAAAAAUUCUGAAUGGAGUGUUUUUGGGGAGUUGAAGUGAAGCCUGGACAAGCUUUGACUUGUGAAUCCUUCAAAAACGAUGUCAUAAAUUUAACUCAGGUGGCCCUCGGAGAGACAACUUUGCGCAGAGAUAAUGAGAGGGUUCUUGUUUAUCUUCAUGUGGAUAAGAAGAUAAUUGUGCUAGGAACCCUUAUACAUGGAAGAUGUCAUCAGAUUGGGCUGAAUUUGAUCUUCAAUAAAUCAUUCCAAAUAUCUCAUUCUUCUAAAUAUGCAAGUCUAUUUUUCUGUGGCUAUUCUAGAGUUGUCCCUAAGUGGAAGCAAUCUGCAAGGAGGGAUGAUGAUGCUGAUGAUGAGGGGGACGACAAGGAUUUUGAAGACUUUUGUAGUAGUGAUGAUGGAAGUGAAAAAGAUGAGGAUGAGGAUGACUAUGAUGAUGAUGAUGACGACGACAAAGAUGAGGGAAUUCCCAUGGAUUCGGAUACAGAAACUCCAAGAAUAAUUCAGAAGGGAAACGUUUCUACAUCUGAAGAUGAUUCCAAGGAUGAAGAGGGAGAGUACGAUGAAGUUGAGGACAUGGAAGAUAGUAGAAGUGAUGAUAAGGAUGAGGAAAGUGAGGAUGAAGUAGACAGCAGUGAAGAUGAGGAAGAUGAGGAAAUAUCAAGGGUCGCAAUGAUGUGUGCUGGAAAUCAUAAGCGGCCAAGGCCAAAUUCAGGCAUCAAGACUCCAAAAACAAAUAAGAAAGCAAAGGUGGUUACACCUCAUGUUGAAAAGCCAGGUAAAGGAAAGAAAUGUGUGCAAUUUUCUACUCAUUAUGAUGGUGCCAGCAAGGGUGCCAAGAAAGGCAAAAGGACUACAGGAGGCUCAGAGCAGCAGUCUCUAGUAUCAAAAAAGGGUCCAAAAUCUAGUAGUACGCCCUGGCCAGGGAAGAAGGGUCAUUAUGUUGCCAAGCAAGCCAAAGGUUACCAUUGGUGUUGAUGCUUCCUGAUCUUGAGUUCAGAGUUUACACUGAGCAGCCACGAUGUUAAAAGGCAUGGCGGAAAGUAAAAAAUGUGCCAGAUUUGAUUUUUGUAGGAUUUUUAACCAUAUGGAGCUCAAUUUUGAUUAUUUGGAAGCCUUAUUUGUUGACAUAGCGAGCGUAUUGGAUUUUCCUGAAUUUCUUAGGCUACCGUUAUCAUUACAUCCUUCAAAAAAUAAAAAUAGAAACUUCAGAGAAUCGGCUUCUAUUAUAAUUUUGCUUUUCUAAAUCUUGUGGGAGGCUGCUUUUUUUGUACAUAAGUUUGAAAAUAUCUAAAUUGUAUAGAUUGAGUACGUCUAAAGCAUGUGUACUGGAGACCUUAGUUUCCCCUAUUUUGGUUAUCACCAUAUUUUUGGUUCAGGACUGCCUAGUCGUCUUCUUUUGCAUGGUAAAGCUAGUUUGAAUAUAUAUCACCACAAGUCUGGUGGCAGCUGAAUCUAUGACACAGGUUUAUAUAGAAACAUGCAAUUAAAUGAGAAAGGAUUAGUGUGGGAGUUCCUGAUC